rnacentral:rRNA from 1 species
CUGACUGCUAUCGGAUUGAUACUAAGCCAUGCGAGUCAUUGUAGCAAUACAAGGCAGACGGCUCAGUAACGCGUAGUCAAUCUACCCUAUGGACGGGAAUAACCUCGGGAAACUGAGAAUAAUGCCCGAUAGAACAUUAUGCCUGGAAUGGUUUAUGUUUCAAAUGAUUUAUCGCCAUAGGAUGGGACUGCGGCCUAUCAGUUUGUUGGUGAGGUAAUGGCCCACCAAGACUAUUACAGGUACGGGCUCUGGGAGGAGUAGCCCGGAGAUGGGUACUGAGACACGGACCCAGGCCCUAUGGGGCGCAGCAGGCGAGAAAACUUUGCAAUGUGCGAAAGCACGACAAGGUUAAUCCGAGUGGUUUCUGCUAAAGAAACCUUUUGUCAGUCCUAGAAACACUAACGAAUAAGGGGUGGGCAAGUUCUGGUGUCAGCCGCCGCGGUAAAACCAGCACCUCAAGUGGUCAGGAUGAUUAUUGGGCCUAAAGCAUCCGUAGCUCGUUUUGUAAGUUUUCGGUUAAAUCCAUGCGCUUAACGUAUGGGCUGCCGGGAAUACUGCAUAACUAGGAAGUGGGAGAGGUAGACGGUACUCGGGAGGAAGGGGUAAAAUCCUUUGAUCUCUUGAUGACCACCUGUGGCGAAGGCGGUCUACCAGAACACGUUCGACGGUGAGGGAUGAAAGCUGGGGGAGCAAACCGGAUUAGAUACCCGGGUAGUCCCAGCUGUAAACUAUGCAAACUCAGUGAUGCAUUGGCUUAUGGCCAAUGCAGUGCUGCAGGGAAGCCGUUAAGUUUGCCGCCUGGGAAGUACGUACGCAAGUAUGAAACUUAAAGGAAUUGGCGGGGGAGCACCACAAGGGGUGAAGCCUGCGGUUCAAUUGGAGUCAACGCC